rnacentral:rRNA from 1 species
UACGUAGGGUGCGAGCGUUAAUCGGAAUUACUGGGCGUAAAGCGUGCGUAGGCGGUUCGUUAAGUGCGUCGUGAAAGCCCCGGGCUCAACCUGGGAAUGGCGAUGGAAACUGGCGGGCUGGAGUAUGGCAGAGGGGGGUGGAAUUCCACGUGUAGCAGUGAAAUGCGUAGAGAUGCGGAGGAACACCGAUGGCGAAGGCAGCCCCCUGGGCUAACACUGACGCUCAUGCACGAAAGCGUGGGGAGCAAACAGG